rnacentral:rRNA from 1 species
GACGAACGCUGGCGGCGUGCUUAACACAUGCAAGUCGAGCGGUAAGGCCCUUUCGGGGGUACACGAGCGGCGAACGGGUGAGUAACACGUGGGUGACCUGCCCUCAGCUCUGGGAUAAGCCUGGGAAACUGGGUCUAAUACUGGAUAUGACUCCACGGUGCAUGUCGUGGGGUGGAAAGCCUUGUGCGGCUGAGGAUGGGCCCGCGGCCUAUCAGCUUGUUGGUGGGGUGAUGGCCUACCAAGGCGACGACGGGUAGCCGGCCUGAGAGGGCGACCGGCCACACUGGGACUGAGACACGGCCCAGACUCCUACGGGAGGCAGGCAGCGGGGAAUCUUGGACAAUGGGCGCAAGCCUGAUCCAGCCAUGCCGCGUGGGUGAGAAGGCCU